rnacentral:misc_RNA from 1 species
GAUGAAAACGUAGUGAAAUGCGAUAAGUAAUGUGAAUUGCAGAAUUCAGUGAAUCAUCGAAUCUUUGAACGCACAUUGCGCCCCCUGGUAUUCCGGGGGGCAUGCCUGUUCGAGCGUCAUUACAACCCUCAAGCUCUGCUUGGUGUUGGGCCCCGCCGCCCCGGCGGGCCCUAAAAUCAGUGGCGGUGCCGUCCGGCUCCGAGCGUAGUAAUUCUUCUCGCUCUGGAGGUCCGGGUGUGUGCUCGCCAGCAACCCCCAAUUUUUUUCAGGUUGACCUCGGAUCAGGUAGGGAUACCCGCUGAACUUAAGCAUAUCAAUAAGCGGAGGA